GAUGAACGCUGGCGGCGUGCCUAAUACAUGCAAGUCGAGCGAACAGACGAGGAGCUUGCUCCUCUGACGUUAGCGGCGGACGGGUGAGUAACACGUGGAUAACCUACCUAUAAGACUGGGAUAACUUCGGGAAACCGGAGCUAAUACCGGAUAAUAUAUUGAACCGCAUGGUUCAAUAGUGAAAGACGGUUUUGCUGUCACUUAUAGAUUGAUCCGCGCCGCAUUAGCUAGUUGGUAAGGUAACGGCUUACCAAGGCGACGAUGCGUAGCCGACCUGAGAGGGUGAUCGGCCACACUGGAACGGGGACACGGUCCAGAAUCCUACGGGAGGCAGCAGUAGGGAAUCUUCCGCAAUGGGCGAAAGCCUGACGGAGCAACGCCGCGUGAGUGAUGAAGGUCUUCGGAUCGUAAAACUCUGUUAUUAGGGAAGAACAAAUGUGUAAGUAACUAUGCACGUCUUGACGGUACCUAAUCAGAAAGCCACGGCUAACUACGUG
rnacentral:rRNA from 1 species